AGCCAAAACAAGGAAACAAUGAACUAAAUAAUUUAAGAUGAGACAGAAUAAAAAAGUAAUAAUGAAGUAAAAGACUAAACAAUGGAUGGGAGGAGGGGAAUUAGGAUAAUUCAAGCAGAUCUAUGAGUACACAUAUGAAUACUUGUCCCUACCUAAUUUUGGUUGGGUGCUUUGUGCUUUGUGAAUCAAUGCUUUCUCAGAGAUACAAUUGGCUGGGAAGGGAGAGUCUAGCUGGCCAAUCAGAUGGCAAAGGGUGUGGCUUCUCAUUGUUGACUCAGAAUUAUAUAUUCAUAGGGAGGGCCAGACCCCAAAGGUUAGACAGCUUGGGGCCCCAUACAAAAUGGUAAAGAAAACAAGACGACGAAAAAGAUAUAGAGGCAAGAAGUGCCAGGGUAGAAAGAAAAGGAAACCCACACCACGAUCCCGCUGUGUGACCCAGGUGCUGAAGAAGCUACACCAUAACAAGGCGAACAUUUCAUCCAAAGCAAAGGGGGCUGUCAUCUCAUAUAUCCAUGACUAUUCUAACAAAAAUGGGGUCAGACCAGGCCAGAGGGUUCCCACACCAAAAGAUCUGCUAAAUGCCACUUCCCAGAGCCAAAGCCAGAGCCAGAGCCAUAGCAAGAAGAAAGGCACGAAGAAAGAGUAUGGUGAGCAAAGUCGAAGAGGGCGAUAGAGAGCAUGACUGACAGAGAGCACUGACUCUCAAAGCCACCACCCAUACCCAUGGAAACAUCAGAGAUACAGGCAAAGGGCAUUGAGGAAACAAGAUUGGAAAUGAAAGAUAAUAAUAAAAAAAAAAAAAAAAAAAAAAAGGAGGGGGCCAUUAAGCAGUCUCAUUCUAGAGGUAUAUGUUUUUCUGUGUUUUCUGAAAACAUGAAUGGGGUUGGACAGAUCUGGGGAUUUUGAACAAAAUGGUAGAUGAGGCUGACUGUGGGAAGAGUCUUUAGGUUUGGGAGUUGAUCGGAUAAGUGGAUCUUAAAAAAAAAAAAGGGAAUUUCAGGAUAGAAUAACAGUUAUCAUUUCAAAAUCUCUGACUGUGCUAUAAGAAUUAAAAAUUUAGGAUUUGAAAUAUAUAUAUACAAAUAAUAUAUACACUAAAUAGGAUCAUAAACCUGGACUUUGAAAGUAACCUCAGAGUGGAAAAAAUUAGAGCCCAGGGAGGUUGAAGAAUUUGAAAGGAUUUCUCCAACCUCAGAGAUAAUGCUGUUUUUCCACUGUGAUGUUACCUCUAUUUUUUUUUUUUGGGGGGGGGGUUAUUCUGCCUUUUCAAAGUCAUGAAUAUAUGGAAGUUCUGAUGUGGAGAAAAACUUCAUAAAUGCAGAUCAGCAGCUUGUAUCUGUUGAACUUACAUAAAUCUUAAAA
rnacentral:lncRNA from 1 species